UGUCAGACUGAAGUUUGAAAUCUGUCUCUGUGUCUUUCUAGUUUUAUGGCCUAAGGCAAGACAGCUAUUAUCUCUGGCCAUCACAUUCUUCAUCUGUGAAAUAGCAAUCGUGAUAACAACCUUCCUAAACUGAUGUGAGCAUCACAUGGAAUCACAUGGAAGUAGAUACUCAGAAUAGCUUCUGGAAUUGUUAUAUUGCAGAAGGCAAACAUCAAUUCUAUAAUAAGGGGACUGUUCUUAGACUGCUCCUUCAUGCCCAUCUCAGAACAAACACAAUCUGCAUUCAGAACAGAACCGUUUACAAGUUCAAUGGAGUUAUUUUGGGAACCUGCUAAAAAGCUAUUGAAAUCACUGAGGUAGAAGAAGAAACCAGACAAACAGACAACAGUUCUUUACCUUGGCUCUACUCAACCUUGUCCCUAUGGACCAGCC